rnacentral:rRNA from 1 species
CCAUGCCGCGUGCGGGAAGAAGGCCUUCGGGUUGUAAACCGCUUUUGUUCGGGAAGAAAAGGCAUCUCCUAAUACGGGGUGUUCUUGACGGUACCGGAAGAAUAAGCACCGGCUAACUACGUGCCAGCAGCCGCGGUAAUACGUAGGGUGCGAGCGUUAAUCGGAAUUACUGGGCGUAAAGCGUGCGCAGGCGGUUCGCUAAGUCUGAUGUGAAAGCCCCGGGCUCAACCUGGGAACUGCAUUGGAAACUGGCGAGCUUGAGUGUGGCAGAGGGGGGUGGAAUUCCACGUGUAGCAGUGAAAUGCGUAGAGAUGUGGAGGAACACCGAUGGCGAAGGCAGCCCCCUGGGCUAACACUGACGCUCAGGCACGAAAGCGUGGGGAGCAAACAGGAUUAGAUACCCUGGUAGUCCACGCCCUAAACGAUGUCAACUGGGUGUUGGGGAAGCAAUUCCUCAGUACCGUAGCUAACGCGUGAAGUUGACCGCCUGGGGAGUACGGCCGCAAGGUUAAAACUCAAAGGAAUUGACGGGGACCCGCACAAGCGGUGGAUGAUGUGGAUUAAUUCGAUGCAACGCGAACAACCUUACCUACCCUUGACAUGUCCGGAAGCCCGCUGAG